rnacentral:rRNA from 1 species
AUUGAACGCUGGCGGCAUGCCUUACACAUGCAAGUCGAACGGCAGCACGGGAGCAAUCCUGGUGGCGAGUGGCGAACGGGUGAGUAAUAUAUCGGAACGUGCCCAGUCGUGGGGGAUAACGCAGCGAAAGCUGUGCUAAUACCGCAUACGAUCUAAGGAUGAAAGCGGGGUAUCGCAAGACCUCGCGUGAUUGGAGCGGCCGAUAUCAGAUUAUCUAGUUGGUGGGGGAAAGGCCCACCAAGGCGACGAUCUGUAGCUGGUCUGAGAGGACGACCAGCCACACUGGAACUGAGACACGGUCCAGACUCCUACGGGAGGCAGCAGUGGGGAAUUUUGGACAAUGGGCGCAAGCCUGAUCCAGCAAUGCCGCGUGCAGGAUGAAGGCCUUCGGGUUGUAAACUGCUUUUGUACGGAACGAAACGGCCCUUUCUAAUACAGGGGGCUAAUGACGGUACCGUAAGAAUAAGCACCGGCUAACUACGUGCCAGCAGCCGCCGUAA